rnacentral:rRNA from 1 species
GACAGAGGCCUCGAGCGUUAGGCGGAAUCACUGGGCUUAAAGCGUAUGUAGGCGGAUCGUUAAGUACCUUGUGAAAUCCCACGGCUCAACCGUGGAACGGCUGGGUAUACUGGCGGUCUUGGGCCAUUCAGGGGCGACUGGAACAAGCGGUGGAGCGGUGAAAUGCGUAGAUAUCGCUUGGAACGCCGAAGGUGAAAACAGGUCGCUGGGGAUGUGCCGACGCUGAGACACGAAAGCCAGGGGAGCAAACGGG